rnacentral:rRNA from 1 species
AUUGAACGCUGGCGGCAGGCCUAACACAUGCAAGUCGAGCGAGCGGCGGACGGGUGAGUAAUGUAUGGGGACUGCCCGAUAGAGGGGGAUAACUACUGGAAACGGUGGCUAAUACCGCAUACUAUCGGAUAACCCAUAUGGGAUUAGCUAGUAGGUGGGGGAAAGGCUCACCUAGGCGACGAUCGAUAGCUGGUCUGAGAGGAUGAUCAGCCACACUGGGACUGAGACACGGCCCAGACUCCUACGGAGGCAGCAGGGGGGAAUAUUGCACAAGGGGCGAAAGCCUGAUGGAGCCAUGCCGCGGGUAUGAAGAAGGCCUUAGGGUUGUAAAGUACUGUCAGCGGGGAGGCGUUACCCGCAGAAGAAGCAACGGCUAACUACGUGCCAGCAGCCGCGGUAAUUC